AGAUGUGAAGAAUAAAAUUGAAGGAACUGGCUAUGGUAAUCCUGGAGAAAAGAGGAAUUCGAUGGAGGUUCCUAAGAGGAGCUCAUGAAUUGGAGGAAAAAGCUACAGGAGUAGAGAUAUCUCCAGUGUGAGGAACCAGCUGGAGGGAGAGAUUAAGUUGCUGUGCCUGGUUAGAGCAAUAUAUUUCUUUGAGAUCCCCAGUACUUCUGGCUUCCUGCUUAGAGAUGGAAGAUGGAAGAGGCCAAGCCCACUUUAGAUUGCUAAAGGAAAAGGUUCUGGGAAGACAUGAGAGAAUCUGGCAGCCUCUAUCAUGUCUCUAUCCCAGCUGGUUUUAGUUAAGACUUCGGGGAAUUUCCCUUUGGGUGAAAUCCAGGACUCUCUUUUGGUUGAGCUGAGUUACUUCCCUCCCAAUGAGGUUGUCCUUGAGAUUCCAACUCUUCCUAAUUGGCCCCGGGGGAGAGAGGCGAGCUUGGCUCCUAUCAGAGGAAGACAGAGUUGUUGAGUGUCCAAAUGAAACCAGCAAACCAGCGAUGGUGUCUGAGGAUUCAGACAACUGGUCUGAGCUGGCCUCUUGGGCAGGCUCCAAGCAUUGGACCCUUUCCGAUAACUUGUAUGGUGGUGGACCAUGUGGAGGAGGAUUCAGAAGCAUCUUUCUGACAUCCCAAGAGCAAAGCUGA
rnacentral:lncRNA from 1 species